rnacentral:rRNA from 1 species
UACGGGGGGAGCAAGCGUUGUUCGGAAUCACUGGGCGUAAAGGGAGUCUAGGCGGUUUGGUAAGUGGGAUGUGAAAUCCCCGGGCUCACCCCGGGACCUGCAUCCCAAACUGCUGAGCUUGAGUACAGGAGAGGGUGGGGAAUUCCAGGUGUAGCGGUGAAAUGCGUAGAUAUCUGGAGGAACACCGGUGGCGAAGGCGCCCACCUGGCCUGCUACUGACGCUGAAGCUCGAAAGCUAGGGAGCAAACGGGAGUUAGAA